ACCCUACGGGGGGCAGCAGUGGGGAAUAUUGCACAAUGGGGGGAACCCUGAUGCAGCGAUGCCGCGUGGAGGAAGAAGGUUUUCGGAUUGUAAACUCCUUUUAUCUGGGAGCAAUUGAGUCCACGUGUGGGCUUAGCGAGAGUACCUGAAGAAAAAGCAUCGGCUAACUCCGUGCCAGCAGCCGCGGUAAUACGGAGGAUGCGAGCGUUAUCCGGAUUUAUUGGGUUUAAAGGGUGCGUAGGCGGAAUAUCAAGUCAGCGGUAAAAAUUCGGGGCUCAACCCCGUCGUGCCGUUGAAACUGAUGU
rnacentral:rRNA from 1 species